AUGAAUGUCGAGAUGGGUUGUAGCUGGCCUUUUGGGGCAUGUGCACACCCUGAUCUAACCUCUCUCACACCUGUGCACAACCUGUAGCUUGGGAUGAUUACAGAGCUGGAAACAGCAUUGAAAGCCCUUGCUAUGAAAUUUUACACACACAUAUUAAAAGUUAUAGAAUGUUAUAUAGCGUGUAACAGCGCAAAUAAAUAUA
rnacentral:misc_RNA from 1 species